ACAGGCCGCGUGAACAAAUUGGCAGAGUUUUUGUGUCCUGUUUAUUUUCUAGUCUUAAAUCAAUAUGAAGUCCGCGUCAUUCUGUAUAUUCGUGAUAGUGAUUCUGACACUUGGCGUUCACCAAACCACUGGCUCAUAUCCCUCUCCAUAUCCCUCUCCAUAUCCAUCUCCAUAUCCAUCUCCAUAUCCCGCUCCAUAUCCAGCUCCAUAUCCAGCUGCAUAUCAUGGAGAUGCUGCGGCAACAAACCAAGAUGUCGAUGAGGAACUCAUCUCUCCAGUACAUUAGAAUUGUAUACUUCAUGCAGUCAACUGGUGGGAUUGUAAGUCAACAUUGAGAGGGUGCUAUUACUUCUGUGUUAAUUAUCAAUACGGAAUGGCGCUGCUGUCCUGAUCAGAAAUGCUUAACCGAGGAUCAUGCCGUCAACAAAUUAUUAACACAAUCAUACUUCAAUAUCAGGAGAAAAAAAAUCAUGAAAAAUUGAAAACUUUGGAAAAUUAAAGAAAAUUGAUAGGGCUAUCUAACAUUACUCAGUUACUUGGUGAUUAUUUUA